UAUACAAUAAUCGUUCUUGUACACUGUGAAAUGUGUUGCUCUCAUUGUUGCUAAAAAGCUGAUUGGUCAUUAGGUAAAUAGGAUUUUGGGGGCAGAAAGAAUGCUGGGAAGAAGAAGGGCAGAGUCUGAGGAGCCACAAGCUAGACUCAAAAGAAGCAACAUGAAAUUCCAUAGAUGAGGUAAAUGAGCCCAGGGCAGCACACAUAAAAAUGGGUUAAUUUAAUGAUGGAGGAAGGUCAUUGAGCAAUAAAGAAACUGCUUGGCUGGCCUCAUAGGUUAAAGCAUUGGUGGGAGGAGUAAACAGAAUAGGAUUCUGGGCGGAAGAGGAAGUGAGGUCAGACUCUGCUCUGCUCUGCUCCCAGAGAGACCUGACAGCUCUGCUCUCUGGAGCAGAGACGCCAUGCUCAGCUCUGGUGGAUAGACACGAUAGCUCUGCGCUCUGAGGCAGACACAUGAAGCUCAAACCCAGGAUGGACGGAGGCUAGAAUCUUCCCGGCCAGAAGAGGACACCAGACCCCAUUACAGAUGGUUGUGAGCCACCAUGUGGUUGCUGGGAAUUGAACUCAGGACCUUUGGAAGAGCAAGCAAUGCUCUUAACCUCUGAGUCAUCUCUCCAGGCCUCUGGAUGGUUAUUUGGGAGCAACUGCCAAGCCACAGAGAAACUCUGCCCAUAAGUUAGGACCAAGACUAAGCACCUGUGGGAGUCGUGUGCCGGACUGAGCAAUAAGAAGACAAAGUGGACUCCCGUCCGCUGAGCAGGAACUGUGUCCGAAGAAGGGAGCUGCACAGAAAAGACGUUUCUCCUGCAGUCUGUUUUCUGGUGAGUGUUUAACAACUUUAGAUCUGCAGAAACAUGAUGAAGCUCCUAGGGAGGUCUCACAUGGUGCCUCCCAAACAUCCUGACAAGUGUCAUUUAUUAUGGUCAGUGGACCAGUCCUGCCGUGUUACCCUUGCUUUUAUCCCUGCUUUACUCAUAGUUCCUAUUUCUUUCCUAGUGACGUUGGUUUUAUCUCAUCUAGGAGCUGGGCUACAUCCACCGAAUUUAGUCUUCAUUUCUUCGCAGGCAACUUUCGCUGAAACAGAAGUUUCUUUGUUUUGUUUUGUUUUGUUUUGUUACUGUGUAUGUGUUUUAUGCUUGGAGACAGGGUAUCUGUCACUCUGUAGACUAAGCUAGCAGAACUCAGAAAUCUAUAUGCCUCUGCCUCCCCAGUGCUGAGACUGUGUGCCACCACGCCCACUAGAGUUCCUUGUUUUUGAUUACCAUUGUGGUUCUUGGUAGUUCUGGUCAGAUGUUUAGUACAAAGCUGGGUUUGAGUGUUUUCACGCCUUUUUGAGUUUUCAGAAGAGACCACAGAACGAAGUGCCAUGUCAUCACACCCUACUGAAUGCACUCGCUCACUGUUGUUGACCUUGAGUACAUGGCUAAGGUCAUACAAAUCCUGUUUAUUCACUGCUGUCGUCCCCUUGGCCACUCUUCAUUCUUUAGAAAGAAGUCAGUAUCUACAGCCCAAAUGUGACAGUGUGGAGUAUGUUCCACCUCCUUACGGGCAGGCUAUCUACAUUAAGUAUCUGCCAUUUCUCCAGAAGGAAACAAUUUUUUUUUUAAAAAAAAAAAUCAGCCAUGUGUGUUGGCUCACACCAGUAACCCCAGCAUUCAAGUACUAGGACUGCGUUGAGUUUCAAGACAGUCCAUGCUUCAGUGAGAAACCAGGCCAAGGCAGGCAGACCAACCCUGCAACUACCCAGGCCCAGAACCAGGGUUAUGACCUGGCCCACCCCAACAUCCACCUCAUCUGUGAUCUGCUGGAGCGUGUGAAGGGACCAGUCAUGCAGACCCAAAGCUGCAGGACCUCCAUGACACAGGACAACAAUAGGAUAUCCAAGAGGAGUCCCAGUGGGAGUCCACAAUUGAUGGAGUAGUAGAAACCAGAUGCCUUGAACCAAACUAAUGAUGCCUUGCAAUGAACACUUGCAAGUAAAGAUCUAAGAAUAAAAGGGUUUACCGCCUUGACUCAGUAUGUCACACUGUAGCUUCUGCGAUGAGAUUGAUUUGUCCUUUUAUUUUUUUCUCUUUUUGUCUUAAAUUCUAUUUUGGGGGGGUUGCAAGGGCAGAUAUAAAGGGAUGGGGAAAUGUAAGGCACUGAGAUGCAUGAUGUAAAAGACUCGAAGAAUAAAUAAAGUUUAAAAAAAAACACGUCAAGGGCUGGGCAUGUGGUUCAGCUAGUAGCGUGAUUACCUAGCACACACAAAGCCCUGAGUUUUCUCCCCAGCACUGUACGAAACAGCAAGGUGUUGCAGGCCUGUAAUCCCAGGAUUUGGAAGGUAUAUGUGGUAGUUUGAAUGUAAUUGGCCCCCAUAAUUUCAGGGAGUGGCAUUAUUAGGAGGUGUGGCUUUCUUGGCAUCGGUAUGGCCUUGUUGGAGGAAGUCUGUCACUGUGCGGGUAGGCCUUGAGAUUUCCUAUGCUUAGGAUAAGGCCCAGUGUUUUAGUUGACUUCCUGCUGCCUGCAAGAUGCAGGACUCUGAGCUAUUCUUCCAGUACCAUGUCUGUCUAUAUGCCGCCAUGCUCCCCAGCAUGGACUGAACCUCUCAAACUGUAAGCAAGCCACCCCAAUUAAAUAUUUUCUUUAUAAGAGUUGCUGUGGCCAUGAUGUUUCUUCAUAGCAAUGAAAACCCAAACUAAGAUGUUGGGGGCUGCAGACCCCCGGCCCCUUGACUUUCUUUGCCUGCCUCAGACCCCUUGCCUGCUGGAGUGAACUGAGCAAAACAACUUGUUUACCUGUGCCUGCAGCUGCUCUGAGCACAAGACCCUGAUGGCAGGGGAGUGGGUUCUGGUGAGGCCUGCAGCUGAUCUUGAGAGCUGGAGUGUGUGGCCAGAGCCCUAUAUAAUCUGCCCGAGCAUAAUAAAAUUGGCAUUCUUGCAUCAAGAAUGACCCUUGUCCCUGUGUCUCUGCCUGUCUGUGUGUGUUUGUAUGUUUUUAAGUCUUCAGCCUAGUUCCCAGCUUGCAUAACAUAACAUAGAACAUAGAGCAGACACAGUGUUUUACAAGUGGAGGCUCCCAGCGAGAUCGGGGAACUAGGGAGAUGCUAAGAGACCACCCUCGGGAAUGGUGAGGGUAGAUUGAAGAUGGGUAUGUGUCUAUGUGUGUCUUUCAUCCCCAGGCUCUUCCCCAAUAGCAGUUCCAGGGGGUGCAGGUGCCACAGCAGGAGUCACCGCUGAGCCUGGCAACUAGAGGUUCUCUGAGGGACGCCAUCCAGAAGGUUGGCCAACAGGAAAGUAAUAAAGAGGAGGGGGGAGGGUGAAUUGAAGGCCUCAAGAAGAAUGGAAGAGAAAGAAUAAGUUUUUAAAGAGACAGAGUAAAUAAUAAUAAGCCAUGUAAAGAUGCAACAUGCACAGAGAAUUUGUAUUAUGUAUAUUACUGUGUUGUCUUUUGGUUUUUUUUUUUUUUGGCUGGAGAAAGACAUUUGAUUCUGGGAACUGCUAAGAAAGGUAUCUUGACUGUAAAAUACGGGCCCAUGGAUUUGUUGCUUUGGAAAAGAGGUUCUGCUUCUGUGUCCACAGAGAAUGAGAACCUGUGGAUUCAUUCCAGGCUAAUGUGGUUUGAUGGACCAAGCCCCCCUGAAAUGUCGCUGUAAAUACCCUCAAAGAUAUUUCACCCAAUAAACAGCAGGAAGUAGUUUACAAAGAAAUGAUGCCCAAAUUCUCUAAAUGGUUGUUUACUGGAGGAAGUAGGGCUCGGGAGCCUGUCUGCCACUGUGGGCCUGAGGAGCAGGGACAAGCUGUGUGCAGGCAGCAAGCUUGGACCCCUUCCACAAUUCCUGAGUGCAAGCCUGCCUGCUGCACAGGCUCCCAGCAGCGUUUGGUGGAAGGCAUGUUACCCCGGCACAGUCGGUGCCUGCCUGGUGGAACCGCGGCAGGUGGUGCCAGGGGCAUCGGUUACCACAGUGGCAAAUGCUGGAGCCGGGGCAGGCCAGAGCUGCUCAGACCCCACUGGGCUGCCCGUCAGUACACAGCCUGCUGCUCCUGCCAGUUGUACUGGUGUACCCCGAUAGGAUUUGCUGAAGAAGGCAAAGGCAGGAGGAUCAGUUAUGGAGACUAUCUGGCAGUUUGUGUUUUAUUUUUGCUGAAUUUUCUACUAGGAUGUAUGGCCAGAGAGCAUUAUUUAUUGUAGUGAUGGGGACCAUGAUCACUUUACAAGAAUGUUAGCAAGGAUUCUCAGGAGUUUCGUUUUAGAAAUCCAGCCCAGUGUGGUGUAGUGUCUACCUUCACGGGAUGGUAUCUUUGUGGGCUUCAUGCCUGUUUAAAUUUUGGACCCUUGGCUGUGCAGGAUUCUACCUUUUUUUAAUAGCACAGCAAGAUGGAAAACCAGAGCCAAAAUAGGGCGUCUCAUGCGGCUGUCUGUGGCUAAUUAAUGAUUCUGCCCUUAAUUGUUCUCAAGUUUUGUGUCUUUUCAACAGCUGUUGGGCUAACGAGACGACUGCCGCUGUGCCUGGGUUCCGGGGUUGGUGCCUCUUCCAUUGAGUCAACUGGUGCUGAGCCCUCCUGGCUGAGACUUGGGGAUCACCAUCACUGUGGGUGGCUGCUACUGUCACCGCUGCGGCCUCCAAGACAACUGAAAUUGCCACCAGUCAGAUGACUGCUGUGGCUAGCCCUGUUGAUCCCCUAGCCAGACAGGUUGCCACUGCCUUAGAGAUCCAGAAUUCCCUAUAUAAUUUUUGCCAGGGCAUUUUUCGGUUUGGCCUAUAGACCUUCUUUUAUAAGAGCAGUUGGAGUAUAUGGUUGGCUGCUCCCUUUCCUUUCGUUAUACUUGCGUCACGCCCAUGCCAGUCCAGCCAUUCCCAUAUGGCCUAGGCUUGCUGAACAGCAGGCCAUAGGAACUCCUGUUGCCUGACGGUUUCUGUUGCUCUGCCUCUGCAACACGCGUCAGUAGCAGCAUCAGCAAUGUAAAAUCACUAUUUGCCCAAGAAAGUGGGCUUCCUUCGAGAGCAGUAUGGGUUAGCAGGCUAUGGAAAGACCAGUGAACCAGAGAUGGGUAAGAAAGGAGCCUGUCAUACGCUUCUGCAACCCAAGAGAGGCCUGGUCUAAUUAUAUAGAAAAGGGGGAGCUGUUGGGAGCUGCAGACCCCUGGCCCCUUGACUUUCUUUGCCUGCUGGAGUGAACUGAGCAAAACAACUUGUUUAGCUGUCCCUGCAGCUGCUCUGAGCAUGAGACCCUGAAGGCAGGGGAGUAAAUUCUGGUGGGUUUUGCAGCUGAAAGAUCCUGAGAGCUGAGGCGUGGUCAGAGCCCUACAUAAGCUGCCCCUGAGCAUAAUAAGGUUGACAUUCUUGUAUCAAAGAUGACCCGUGUCCCUGUGUCUCUCUAUGUGUGUUUGUAUGUUUUUAAGUCUCCAGCCUAGUUCCCCUUUCGUGUACAGCAGAGCACUGAGCAUAUGGAGUGCUUUACACUAAGACAAGUAGAAGGAUCUUCAGUUCAAGGUCAUCACCAGUGAGCGUGGGCUACAUUAAGACUCUCUCAAAAACAAAACAAAACCUAAACAAAAAUAAUAAUGGAAAGCUCCGAAACAUAGGCUGCUUGUUGCCCCAAAGAGCAACUGAUCAGAAAGCAAUAAAACCUAAGAACAAUAGUUUGUCACAAUGUAAUUAGCUUGCUAUUACAAGGGCUUACAAUGUCCUAGGCACAGCAAAACAUUUGAAGUCUGUGUGGCAUUAACAAGAGUUAGCUGCCCAAAAGAAAAACAAAACAAAGCUAGCAAUUUGCUCGGACUCCAGUGCUGAUUGUUGUAGAAGGCCCAGUGGUCUGGUAAGGGUGGCCCAGUAUCCCAACUAUUGUGGCUUUUUGUUUUGUUUGUAUUUUUGAGACAGGGUUUCUCUGUGUAGCCCUGGAUGUGCUGGAACUUGCUUUGUAGAUUAGGCUGACCUUGAACUCAUAUUCUCCUGCUCCCAAUUGCUCCCAACUGCUGGAAUUAAAGACAUAUGCCACCACCACCACUGGCUGGCUUUUUCUAAAUAUUCUUAUAAUUUAUUACCAUUCAAUGAACUGGCUGUAUCUGAGGUUUGUUAAAACAGAAUUACCACCAUUCAAAUAAAACAAUAUGCUAUUACCUCAGACAUGAAUGCUGUAGGUUUAUGUCCUAAGAAAUAACGUACACUUCAUUACUUUGAAGAUAAUUAUAAUUUUUUUCAUUAUUUAUUAGUGUACUGAUGUAGAUCUGGACAAACAUGUAAAGGUCAGAGGACAACUCUGUGGAGUCAGGUUUUCUUUCCACCUUUGCAAGGGUUCCAAGGAAUGACUGCAACUUGCUAAGGACCAUUACCCUCUGAACCAUCUCGAAGGCCCAAGAGAUGGAUGUAAUUUUUAUUUAUUAAAGAUUUCUGUCUCUUCCCUACCACCGCCUCCCAUUUCCCUCCCCCUCCCCCGAUCAAUCCCCUUCCCUCGUCAGCCCAAAGAGCAAUCAGGGUUCCCUGCCCUGUGGGAAGUCCAAGGACCACCCACCUCCAUCCAGGUCUAGUAAGGUGAGCAUCCACGAAACUGCCUAGGCUCCCACGAAACCAAUAGGUCCAGUAGAAUCAAAAACCCGUUGCCAUUGUUCUUGAGGUCUCAGUAGUCCUCCUUGUCCGCUAUGUUCAGCGAGACCAGUUUUGACCCAGGCUUUUUCAGACCCAGGCCAGCUGGCCUUGGUGAGUUCCUGAUAGAACAUCCCCAUUGUCUCAGUGUAUGGGUGCACCCCUCGCGGUCCUGAGUUCCUUGCUUGUGCUCUCUCUCCUUCUGCUCCUGAUUUGGACCUUGAGAUUUCAGUCCGGUGCUCCAAUGUGGGUCUCUGUCUCUGUCUCCUUUCAUCGCCUGAUGAAGGUUAAUAUUCAGGAGGAUGCCUAUAUGUUUUUCUUUGGGUUCUCCUUCUUAUUUAGCUUCUCUAAGAACCCGAAUUAUAGGCUCAAUGUCCUUUAUUUAUGGCUAGAAACCAAAUAUGAGUGAGUACAUCCCAUGUUCCUCUUUUUGGGUCUGGCUUACCUCACUCAGGAUAGUGUAUUCUAUUUCCAUCCAUUUGCCUGCAAACUUCAAGAAGUCCUUGUUUUUUACUGCUGAGUAGUACUCUAAUAUGUAUAUAUUCCAUACUUUCUUUAUCCAUUCUUCAAUUGAAGGGCAUCUAGGUUGUUUCCAGGUUCUGGUUAUUACAAACAAUGCUGCUAUGAACAUAGUAGAGCAUAUACUUUUGUUGUAUGAUAGAUGGAUGUAAUUUUUAUCUUUACUACUGUACCACAGAAGCCCAAGCCAAGGAGACUGCCUGAAAUCCAGUGUUGCUCACUUUUGCCAGCAGAAUGGGGCCUUUCUCAUUCUGUUUUUAAUGCUCUUGUUUUUCUGUUUAACUAAACUAAAGCCGCCUUAUGUCUGGAAAUAUACCCAAGGGGCUACAGAUUUGAGAACUUUAAACACAAAAAAGACAUGACAAUUACAUUUUAACUGCUUUGAACAGUACCUUUGUGAUCUUUACAAUGGAAAUUGAGGCAGCAUGCCGGGCAUCCAACAGCAUCAUCACCCUAAAUGUUUUAUUGUUGAUAUACACAGAACUUGGCUUUUUAGGUAGGCAAUCUUGUGGGCAUCCAGUACAUUCAUGUACCAUCAUCCUCUCCAAAUAAAACUUUGUCUGCUUUAGUACAAAUCCCCCACUUCCUCCUUGUUCUGGACUCUGGUAAUAGUAACCUUUUCUAGUCAUACCCUAUCUAUGCCUUCACUUAGCAUAGCACCAGCGUCAACCCAUGGUGGAUGGUGUGUCCCAAUUCCCUUCUCUUUAAAUGCCUAGUAUUACUGUACUUAAUGCAGCUUUCAUCCAUCCACAGGCACUUGGGUGGCUCUCCCCCUUCUUUUACUUCUAAUAAGGUUAUUUAUGAAUAUGGAUAUGCAAAGAUCUCCCUCCGCCCCUUCUUUUCACUUCUUUUGGACAUGCAGAGAUAUGUAAUGGGCUGCCCACCAGCUUUUUUUUUUUUUUUUUUUUUUUUUUUUUUUUUGGUUUUUUCGAGACAGGGUUUCUCUGUAGCUUUGGUACCUGUCCUGGAACUAGCGCUUGUAGACCAGGCUGACCUCGAACUCACAGAGAUCCGCCUGCCUCUGCUGGGAUUAAAGGCAUGUGCCACCACCACCUGGCUGCCCACCAGCUUCUUAAAUCAUCCUUCUUAAAUCUUUAUCCUUCUUGUUGUUGAAAUAGGACCUUACUAUGUAACCCUGCCUGGUCUGGCACUCUAUAGACCAGGCUUACAGACACCAAACUGGCUUUGAACUCACGGUUAAUCCUCACACUACGCCUCCUGAGAGCUGAGAUUACAGGUGUGUACCACACCCAGCUUUUUGAAAACCCCAAAGUUUUCAAAGACCCUAGGCCUGGGUGAGCAUCUGGAGCCACUGCCUCAGUUCUCCUGACUCAGCCUGACUCCUGCCCAAAUGACAGCCAAUAUUGUUGCUACAGUUCUGUAAACUUGACAUAACCUAGAAUCACCUCGGGGGCAGGAAGCUUCUGGGCAUGCCUGAGGAUGGGGCAAUCCUUUGAUUACAUUAACUGAGGUGGAAGAGAGGCCCAUUCUGCUUGGUACCAUUCCCUAGGCAGGCAAUCCUGGAUGGUGUAACGAGGCAGGAAGUAAACAGAGCACUAGUGUACACACACUCAUUGCUCUCUCCUUCUGACUAUGAUUAGAAUGUGGCCAGCUGCUUCACACUCCUGAUGCCUUGCCUCCCCUGCUAUGAUGAGACUAUAAUCUAGAACUGUGAUUUCAAAUAAACCCUUUCUGGGGGCUGGGAAGGUGGCUCUUCCAGGGAACCCAGCUUCAAUUCCCUGCACCCACAUGGCAGCUUAUAGCUAAUUCCAGUUCUAGAGAACCUGGCACCCCCACACAGACAUACAUGCAAAGCACAAAAAAAAAAUAAAUAUGUCUUUAAUAAAAUAAAAUAACACCUUUCUCCAUACCAUUUGCUUGUCAGGGCAUUUUGUUGCAGCAAGAGCAAAAUGGACAAGACAACUGCAAUGUCCCAUGCACAUGAAUGUGUCCUCUGGGGUCAGGCUCAGGCAAGUAAAAAAACCUGAUGAAUUUUUGUAAAACCAGUAAGCAUGAAAACAGGAAGGUCAGGAAGGUGGCGAAAUCCAUAUGCAAGCCAAGGAUUACAAAAGCAGUCCUUCUUCAAGCUUUUUUUCCACCUGCUAAAACACUAAAGUGUAGGAGGGUUUCAAAUUACUCACCAAUCCCAAAGCUUUCUCGCGAUUUUUUUUUUCAGAGUUUCUGUCAAAAGUUCCUAUCCAAGGAACUGCAAGACCAACCCUCCCUCUCUGUCACUGGUCAAGAGCAGUCUAGCCAGCUCAUGGUUUAUGAGAAACCGCGAGGGUGAAGUCACUUGAAGCACUGGGCUGUACACACGGUCGGUGUGUUUCUGGCCAAGCAGGUGUGACCCAAGUCACUGCUGGCGUGGCUUCUUUUUGGAUGGAGAAGGGAAAGAAGAAAGAACCUAAGCCAGCAGAGAGACAGUGAUAGCGACCAGUGUCUGGCUUUCCUCUUUCUGUCCAGGUAGAGAAAUGGGCUAAAACACUUAGUGACAAUAUCCACUCACAGGGUCCAGCAUAUGCUAAAAGUCACAUGGGUUUUGCCCUCCCUGGCCCUUCUGGGUCCUUGUUGCAGCUAGGUUCAAAUGGGGCCUGAUUCCACAGAAGUCGCCCCCUCACUACUCAGCCAUGCACAGGGGGAAGGUUCCCAGGCAGACACGUUAGCCUGUGAAGAGGGAACAGGACCCUGUUUAAGUUUGGAGCCUAAAAACACAUUCCAUGUGAUCAUCUGGGCCCCUACGGUGAACUGGGACCCAAGAAUGUCACCACCCGUGGUACUCUUGUUGUAUUCAGUGUCCUCAGCAAGAGGGCUGACUGGAAAGAGUGUGAUAAACCCCAGGUCCUCUAACAGUCCUAUUCUUUUCCAAGUACCCUUCCUACAUGUAUGUGCGUGUUUGCCCUUGUGUGUGCACGAAGAAGCCAGAGGGAACCUGCAGUGUUCCUCCCAGGAGCUGUCUCCCUUGGUUUUUGAAAUGUCUCACUAUGGUGAGGGGAUUCACCGAGGCUAGCUGGCCAGGCAGCCCCAGGGACCUGUCUUGUCUCUGCCCUCCAGAAUGGGGAUCACAAAUGCCUGCUACCACGCCUGGAUUUUCACACGGGUGCUGGGGUCCAAACUCAGGUCCUCACGUCUGCAACACGUGUGACAAAGCCGUGUUCACAGCCCCACCCAUGGUACUUUCGAAGAUGCCGAGGACUGAAAUCGCACGCUUUUAUUAAGGUCUAGGUUUUCACGCAACCAUGAUACUGGCCGGUACCUCUAACUCCACAUCCGUGAAGCUCAUCUGUGCUGCCGGGUAGAGUGGUCCUCCGCUACUUAGUAGAAUAAAAUGAUUUGUUUCCAUGUGGAGGUGACGUUCCACGCGCAUUUUCUUUUCUUUUCUUUUUUUUUUUUUUUUUUUUUGGGAAAAGCCAUGUCACUACCCAUUCCUUAAGUAUGGGUGUAAUUUUUUUCCUGGGACAUCGAUACUGUUUGACACCCAACACUCAUCUCCCUACUUAACUUUGAACAGCUAACAGUGCGGGGCUAAGUGCGAAGCCGUUAAGCAAGUUGCCUUCUGCAUUUACAAAACGGCUCAGCUCUCACACCUACCACUCCAGAUAUACGGAUCCGUCCUUAGGACUUGGGUAACACACCAGUCUCCCAAAGACUCCGAGGCUCCACAGACCUUCCAUCUACUCAGAACCACAGCAUUUACAUACCAGGCAAACUGCAACGCCCUUUGAUUUCCUGCUACCACCUGGAGCCUAGAAAGCGGGCUGCUUCCCGGUUCUCUCUCAUCUUCUCGGGAGGAAGGCAAGAUGGCCGCCAUCCUUCAGUUAUCACAGUACUGUACCUUUAGAAUGGACAGCAUCAGCACUGUGAUAACUGAGCCAGGGCAGCCUGUCAGUCACCAGGUCCAGCAAGGGCGUCCCCGUGGGGUGAAGAACUGGAAGACAGGAGGAAGGCGGAGAAAGGGGGUUAGACGGUGAGGGGGAGCUGAGCUACCCGCACACGGCUCACACACACCCAGCGAAGAAACACAACUGAAUUUCCCUUCUGGUUAUCCAUCUCUCCACACUUCCUUCCCAGUGACGCCUGCCGUGUUCACAGACCGCAUCUUGCAGCCUCACUCGUACAGCCAGUUUUUCUUGAAGGAAGAUUACGUUUCAAGACCUUUCCUGGAGUUGGGCUUGCUGGCCCAGGCCUUUAUCCCAGCACACGGGAGGCAGAGGCAGGCAGGUUGCCCUGAGUUCUGGGAGGCAUGGAUCCACAACCAAACAGCCUACUUCACGUCUGCCGGAAGGUUCGGUAGCUUUCUAUAGGUUUUUCAUUGAAUUUUCACAAAAAUCCUAUGGAGUUAACUAUGAGUGGUUCACAAACUCUUCUAAAAUGGGAUUAUAAAACCAGGUUAUGUAUUGUAAGACCACCUUACUGAUACAAAAAACAACCCCAAACCACAAAGGAGUUGGGGAUGGAUAAAAUCCAGCGCCACAGUGCACAUGUAUGAAACUGUCAAAGAAUAACUUUAGAAAGUACAGACAGAAAGACACACACACACACAUACACACACACACACAGAGCUGAAGAGAUGAUGGUUCCACAGAUAAGAGCACUAGUUGCCUCCCAGAGGACCCAGGUUUAAUUCUCAGCACCCCCAUGGUGGCUCACAACUGUUUGUGACUCCAGUUCUAGGGGAACAAAGCCCUCUUCUGGCCUCCUUGGGCACCAGGCAUACAUGUGGUCCACAGACAUACAUUCAGGAAAACACUCAUACAUAUAAAAACAUAGAAAUAAGAAUAAAUCAUUCCACUUUAAGAAAAACAAAAGCAAAAAGGGGCACAGACUACUCUCACACAGAACCUUAUGACUUUUCUUAUAGACAAUCUAUUCCUAGCACCUCACAACCAUCUCUAAUUCCAGUUCCAAAGGCUCUGGUGCUCUCUGCUGGGCCCUGAAGGUACUGCACACAGGCACGCAUGCAGGCCAAAUACUCACACCAUUAGAUAAAAAGGAAGUUGGUGUGGUGGCCCAGGUCUUUAAUCCUAGCACCGAAGAGGCAGAGAAAGGAGGGCUCUGUGAGCUUGAGGCCAGUCUAAUCUACAUGGUGAGCUACAGGACAGCCAGAGAUACAUAACCCCUGUCCUUAAAAAAAAGUAAAUAAAUAUCUAAAGAAUUAAAAACUUCAGAAACUCUUGAGACAUUAUAUGAUUUACCUAAGAUCUUAUAACGAGGUUAACGUAAAAUGUAGGCCCCGAUUAGUUUCUGUGGGUUGUAUGAGGUCCUUUUCUGCCCUAUUCAUCACUAGCCAGGAUAGUCAGUUUAUAUUCUAUAACACAAACUACCAUUCACAAAUAUUUCUUUCUUUUCUUUUUGGUGUUUUGAUACAGUUUCCCUGUGUAGCCCUGGCUGUCCUGGAACUCACUCUAUAGACCAUGCUGGCCUCCAACUCAGAGAUCCACCUGUCUCUGCCUCCUGAGUGUUGGGAUUAAAGGUGUGCACCACCAACAGCUGGCUAUUUGUUUUUUAAUGUGCACUCAUGCCUGCAUGCAUGUCUGUGUGAGGGUGUCAGGUCUUGGGGUUACAGACAGUUGUGAGCUGCUGUGUGGGUACUGAGAACUGAACCAGGUCUUCUGGAAGAGCAGGCAGCAGUCUUAACUGCUGAGCCACCUCUCCAGUCCCUAUGAAUGUUUCUGAAUGUUUUGUUUUAGUAACCCAGACCACUUAACAAAAGUUAGUGGUUUAUAAUGUAGUAGCAGUUCCUCGUGAACUAUUAGUCUCACUGCUCUUGAUGCUAAACGGUCAGGUGUUGACGCCUGUUGUUGCUAUGAUGACGACGACGAUGAUGAUGUUGUUGUUAUUGUUUUGGGGGUUUUCUUGAGAUAGGGUUUCUCUGUGUGGCCCUGGCUGUCCUAGAACUCACUCUAUAGACCAGGCUGGCUUUGAACUCAGAUAUAUCCAUCUGCCUCUGUCUUCUGAGUACAGGGAUUAAA